UACGUAGGGGGCAAGCGUUGUCCGGAAUCAUUGGGCGUAAAGCGCGUGUAGGCGGUUCGGUAAGUCUGCUGUGAAAGUCCAGGGCUCAACCCUGGGAUGCCGGUGGAUACUGUCGGACUAGAGUACGGAAGAGGCGAGUGGAAUUCCCGGUGUAGCGGCGAAAUGCGCAGAUAUCGGGAGGAACACCAAUUGCGAAGGCAGCUCGCUGGGACGUCACUGACGCCGAGACGCGAAAGCGUGGGGAGCAAACAGG
rnacentral:rRNA from 1 species